AUUUUAUAUAAUAUUAAAAUGGAUUUGUUUUAAUUAUCAGCGUGAGAUGUAUUCUUGAAGUACUGAAUAAGUAAUUACGCAAGUCGCGGCAUCCAACUGUCCAGAGAAAUUGGACCAUUCUUUUACGUUUACCAAAAUAAACAGUCACUUAACGCUGACAUGCUUUUGUAUAUGCUGCUUUUGUGACAAAGCGACGAACGUAUGAUAGUGUUUUCCUGCAGUCCUGCGGGUCCAGAUCCGCAGAUCGACGAUAACACCUGCCUGUGUGGCGUACCGCACAUGCCCCUCCCCUUCCGGGUAAGACGCCCGUAACCGUACGAUGGCAAUUACGAUAUCAGCCAGCUCAUUAUCAUAAUCAUACUCACAUCUUUUUCCUUUUCUCUGCAAUGUCACCGUCGUUCGUCGACUUUUUCGUGUCGCCGGCGAUCAAGCUAAAAGACUAAAAAAUCAUUCUUUCUCCAUAGUGGCCUUAUCAUAAUGAGGGAGUAGGGAAACGGAGGGGAAAAAUCAAAUGUUGGGAGGGGGUACGGCCGUCCCUGGGAGUAAGCAGCAGGACCCGUCGUUGCGUCCUCUGGCGGGCAGCAGUAUGUGGAAUACAUGCUUGAAUGUGCGGUAACGUAUUGUGUGGCGUGAAAUGUAUCGUAAUUUCUAACGAUUUCUACAUUGGCCGAUAUUAUUAUUAUUUAUUAUCAUUUUAUUUACGUAUAUACUUCUUAUGUUUAUGAUUUUUAAUUCAUCAGACGCGAGACGAUUUUUGUCUCGUCGUCAGUACUAUAUUAUCCUUCUUUAUA